GCCAAUUGGGCAGAAAGGGCAAGUUAGUAACGCAGCACCCUCGCGCCCCGAAAGAGCCCGGUACUUCGCUGUGCGUGACGCGACCACAGGCGGCGCCCGCGGGGCCGGGACAGGCUGCCCGGACGCCCGGCGCGUGGGAAACGGGCCUCGCCCUCGUCCUGCCCCGCCCUAGUUGGGAAGCGGCCGCAGCUGGGGAGGCUGCCUUCCCGUUUCCGUCCUAAGAAGCAGGAGGCGCAGCUCGCAUCCCGCAGCCUGCCCGGGACCCCGGGCCGCGCCUCCCUCCCAGCCAAGCCACCCGCUCACCCGCACGAACACCACCACGGCGCGGCGCUCCCGGAACAGCGCGCCGAAAGGCUGGAGUCCAGUGGCUAUUCACAGGUGCUAUGAUUAUAGCACACUACAGUGUCAUACUCCUGGCCUCAAGCAAUCCUCCUGCCUGAGCCUCUUGAGUAGCUGAGACUACAGGUGCAUACCGCCAUGCCUGGCUGAUCAGAGUUUACUCAUUCAUUAUAUUAAACUUUACCUGUUUAACCUACA